GUCCUUUUGAUUAUAUAUAAGGUCUAACCUGCCCACUGAAUUUAAAUGGCCGCAGUACCCUGACUGUGCAAAGGUAGCAUAAUAAUUAGUCUUUUAAUUGAAGGCUGGAAUGAAUGGUUGGACGAAAUAUAAGCUGUUUCAUUAUAAUUUAUAAUAGAAUUUUAUUUCUCAGUAAAAAAGCUGAGAUAUUUUUAAAAGACGAGAAGACCCUAUAAAUCUUUACAUUUUAUAUAGGGCUAUAGAUUAGAAGUUUUUAGUAGUCCUGUAAAAGCAUGUUUUAUUGGGGUGAUAUCAAGAUUUGAUAAACUUUUGACAGUUGAAACAUUAAUUUAUGAAUGAUUGAUCCGUGAAAGCGAUUAAUAAACUAAGUUACUUUAGGGAUAACAGCGUAAUUUUCUUGGAGAGUUCAUAUCGAUAAGAAAGAUUGCGACCUCGAUGUUGGAUUAAGGAAUUGGUUUAGGCGUAGCAGUUUUAAAUCAUAAGUCUGUUCGACUUUUAUAACCUU
rnacentral:rRNA from 1 species